UACGUAGGUGACCAGCGUUGUCCGGAUUUACUGGGCGUAAAGAGCGCGCAGGCGGUCGUUCAAGUCGAGUGUGAAAGCCCCCGGCUCAACUGGGGAGGGUCAUUCGAUACUGAUCGACUGGAAGGCAGGAGAGGGAAGCGGAAUUCCCGGUGUAGUGGUGAAAUGCGUAGAUAUCGGGAGGAACACCAGUGGCGAAGGCGGCUUCCUGGCCUGUUCUUGACGCUGAGGCGCGAAAGCUAGGGUAGCAAACGGG
rnacentral:rRNA from 1 species